GUCUAUGGCCGUACUACCCUCUAUGCCCCGGAUCCGUCUGAUCUCAAAAGCUAAGCAGGGUCAGGCCUGGUUAAUACUUGGAUGGGAAACCUCCUGGGAAUACCAGGCUCUGUAGGCU
ensembl:rRNA 5S_rRNA 5S ribosomal RNA